rnacentral:lncRNA from 12 species
AUGGAUGCCUCAGCCCAAAAAGAGGAGGGAGAUGCUGGGAACUGUCUACUUUUUGCUGGUUCUCUUCCAGGGAGGAGCUGCUGCUGGAGACCAGCUUUUGUCUGCCACUACCCACCUGGAAAUAAGGAUCCUGCCAAAGUCCUAACCUCAACAGGCUCCCACAUGUGCCAGAUACAAGGUAUGGCCAUGAGAUGCUUCAGUAAAGGAUGGUGGCUUCCACUUCUCUGCAGAUGGAACAGGAUUUGUGGAUGGAAGAGAAAUGGUCUGGUUUCUGGCAUCUUCCUUCCUCCACUUCCCUCAGGAAAGGGAAGGUCCUGGUGUAGAGGAGGAGGAUUCAUCCUGCUGCCUGUGCUGGGGCUGUGCUGGAGAGCUGCUGCUAACUGGGCUGGGAAAUUGGUUUCUGUGCAUUCUGUGACUGGAGCCCUGGCUGUCCAACAAGAGUAUGGUGGGAGGAGGGAUGGGGAGGAGGGGUGGGAGGCAGAGCAGUGUGUUGUGGCAGCUCAGGAAUGUGCUGGCAUGGGAAGGGCCUGGAUCUCCAGCCAUGCUGCACCAGGUCAUUCCAUGUCCUAAUGGUGAUGAAGCUGCAGCAGGUUGGUGCCAAGUGAAAGCAGUGCCCUGCUUGAGAAGAACCAUACUCUUUGCUUGUAUACCUGAAAAUAGAGGUGAACUCUAAUGAGAAAUGAGGACAUGCCUACAAAUACAUCUGUAGUUUACAUUU